rnacentral:rRNA from 1 species
UUUGUUACUUCAAACCAAUCGGACUUCGGUCUGACAUCAAGUGAUAUUGAACAAUUUAGCUGAUCGCACGGUCUAAGAACCGGCGACAUAUCCUUCAAAUGUCUGCCUUAUCAACUUUCGAUGGUAGAUUAUGCGCCUACCAUGGUUGUAACGGGUAACGGAGAAUCAGGGUUUGAUUCCGGAGAGGGAGCCUGAGAAACGGCUACCACAUCCAAGGAAGGCAGCAGGCACGCAAAUUACCCACUCCCGGCACGGGGAGGUAGCGACGAAAAAUAACAAGCUGGUCUCAAUGAGUUCCAGCAUUGUAAUGGGAACAAUUUAAAUCUUUUAUCGAGGAUCUAUUGGAGGGCAAGUCUGGUGCCAGCAGCCGCGGUAAUUCCAGCUCCAAUAGCGUAUAUUAAAGUUGUUGCGGUUAAAAAGCUCGUAGUUGGAUUUCUGCCGAGGACGACCGGUCCGCCCUCUGGGUGUGCAUCUGGCUCGACCUGGGCAUCUUCUUGGAGAACGCUGCUGCACUUGACUGUGUGGCACGGUAUCCAGGACUUUUACUUWGAGGAAAUUAGAGUGCUUCAAGCAGGC